UAGUCCGCGCCGUAAACGAUGUCUACUAGCCGUUGGGCAGCUUGACUGUUUAGUGGCGCAGCUAACGCGAUAAGUAGACCGCCUGGGGAGUACGGCCGCAAGGUUAAAACUCAAAUGAAUUGACGGGGGCCCGCACAAGCGGUGGAGCAUGUGGUUUAAUUCGACGCAACGCGAAGAACCUUACCAGGUCUUGACAUCCUACUAAGUUUCUAGAGAUAGAUUCGUGCCUUCGGGAAAGUAGUGACAGGUGCUGCAUGGCUGUCGUCAGCUCGUGUCGUGAGAUGUUGGGUUAAGUCCCGUAACGAGCGCAACCCUUGUCCUUAGUUGCCAUCAGGUUAUGCUGGGAACCCUAAGGAGACUGCCGGUGACAAACCGGAGGAAGGCGGGGACGACGUCAAGUCAUCAUGGCCCUUACGACCUGGGCUACACACGUGCUACAAUGGCCGGUACAGAGGGCUGCAAACCUGCGAAGGUAAGCUAAUCCCUUAAAACCGGUCGUAGUCCGGAUUGGAGUCUGCAACUCGA
rnacentral:rRNA from 1 species